UUAAAGUUUUAUUUUAGCUUUUAGAAAUUAGUUUUUAUUUCUUUUUAUAUGUAUAUUUUAGUGGGACAGAUUUAAAUUUUAAAAAAAUUUAAAUAAAUUAAAUUCGCAGUAUAUAAUUUUAAAUAUUAAAGUAAUUUAGAUUUAGGAAUUUAUAAUAAUAUUAACAAAAUUUGUGCCAGCAGUUGCGGUUAUUCAUAUAAUAUAAUUAAUUAUUAUUAGUUUAUAAUAAAUUUAUUUUUUAAAAAUAUAAUAUUAAAUUUAUUAGGUGAAAUUUUAAAUUUGAUAUAAUUUUAAUUAAAUUAAGUGAAGUUAUUAAAUUUUAAUUUAAACUAGGAUUAGAUACCCUAUUAUUAAAAAUGUAAAAUUAAAGACUAGAUGAUUAUAAGUUAAGUUCUUUAAAAUUAAAAAAUUUGGCGGUGUUUUAGUCUAUUUAGAGGAACCUGUUCUAUAAUUGAUAUUCCACAAUUUGUUAUACUUAAUUUAAUUAGUUUGUAUAUCGUCGUAGUUGAAUAUUUUUAAAGAAAUUUAAUAUUCAAGAUUUAUAAUAAUAAAAUAAAUCAGAUCAAGGUGCAGUUUAUAAUUAAGAAGAAAUGGGUUACAAUAAAGUUAUUUAAAUGGAUUAGUUAUUUAAAAUAAUUAGGAAAGUGGAUUUAAUAGUAAUAAAAUUAAAUUUAAUUUUAUGAUUUUAGCUCUAAAACAUGCACAUAUCGCCCGUCGCUCUCAUUUAAAGUGAGAUAAGUCGUAACAAAGUAGAUGUACUGGAAAGUGUAUCUAGAAAGAU
rnacentral:ncRNA from 1 species